GGGGGGGGGGGGCGGGGGGGGGCAGCCAAUGAGGGGAGGAGCCAAGGGAAACCCCUCCCCCGGGAGGUGUGGGCCCAGCCUUGCUCCUGUCCCGCUCCGGUUUCACUCUCUCUCUUGGGCUACAGAGACAUCCGUAAAUGAUGUGCCCUCUCUUAAUGACUGCAGCCACCAUGUGCAGGGGCUUUGACAGGGUUCACUUGGUGAGCCCACCAGGCCACUGAGGCAGUAAUGCCUAGCCCAUUUCAACAGUGGAAGAAGCAGGAGCCCACACACUCUGGCCCGCAGGCUCCAGAGGUCCUGCUCGGUCUAGCACUGCAUCCCUCCACGCUCCCUCACUCAUCCCACUCCCGCCCCCUCCUGCUGGGCUGCCUCCGUGCUGGCCCCAGACAGGCCCUGUGCUGAGGUCCGCCCCCCUCGCACGUGUCCCCCACCCCUGUGUCACCUCUCUGAGCCCUUUCUUUAAGGUCAGUUUGAAGCUCCCUGCUUCCCCUCCUCCCUUCCACCAACCUUCUGAGCAACUUCUGUCUCCCUCCUCGACAAAACCUCGAACAGACCCCUGCACCCGCCUUGUUGUCAGAAGGGACAGCGUGGCCAGGAAGGGAUGGCACUUGUUAACGCUUGCCACAUGCUGUCUGCUGUGCAAAACAGUUUGCAUGUAUCACUCCAUUUGAUUCUCUUGGGAGGCAGGUGCUAUCAUUGUCCCAUUUUACAGAUGAGGAAACUGAGGCUUAAAAUGUUUAGGCUACCCACCCAAGAUCACAGAGGCAGGGAAUGGAAAAAUGUGGACCCAAACUCAGGUCUGUCUGAGCCUAAAGCUUGUGCUCUUUACCGCACGAUUUGGCCUCCUGCUCUCUGGGCGCCCCUCGCCAGGCUGGCCCUGUCUCCCUUCUAGGUCUCAUCUCCAUGGGCCCUCCUGUCAUUCACUCCAAUUGACUCCCCAUGCAUUUUCGUUCCUCUGGGCCUUUGCGCAUGCUAUUCCUUCUACCUGGAACACCUUUCCCUUUCUUUUGUGCCAUCAAAAGCCUUCCCAAGCAGGGAGCCCUUUCUCUGGGAGUCCCUCCUGGAGGCCCUGGCGGCUCCCACCUCCGACUGUGGAGAGAGCCACUUCCUUUCUGCUGGCCCUUGCAGCGUGGGGCGUGCUUCUCUAUGUGACUGCAGCGUGCUGAGUCUGUGCUGGUGUCCAACUGCCACACAUUAACUGAGCACCCAUUUCGUGCCUGGCACUGGGGGCUCUUGGGACAUGGGGGUGAGCCAGACAGGUGUGUCUCAGCUGUUGCAGCGUUUGCAGCCUGGGGGCUGAGGAACAGGUCCACGCUCAGGACCACAAGGCGGCCUGAGUCUUGUGGUGGGGCAGGAUAAGGGGCUUCAAGUGCUCCCAAGAGGAGCAUCUAUCCAGGACUGGGAUGGGCAGCAGGGCUCCAUGGAGCAAGUGGUAGUAAACCAAGGUGGAGAGAGUCAAGCCAGGAGGGGGUGAAGGGGGAAAGCAAUGUCUCAGGCAAAGGGAACAGCCUGUGCAAAGGCCCAGGGGUGAUAGAAAGCUAGGUGAGAUCAGAAUGCCACAGAGAUUGGCAUGGCCGGAAAAUAGAGCAUGCAGGGCAAGUGUUGCAAGAGCACUCUGGAGAGGCAAGCUCCGACUCUGGCCAAAAAAGGUUGCCGGAAUCUUGCCUCUCUCUCCCACUCAUCUGUGGGCUCAGGUGGCUUAGAGGACAGUGUGGCAUGGGAGUUAACAGCCUGGCCUUGCAGCCAGCAGACCCAGGUGUGGCUUGAGUGACUUCAGACAGCUGCUUACCUGUUCUGGGUCCUACUCUCAUCUUUUAAAUGGGAAUCAUCAUACCACCCCCUCCGAGGGCUUGGCGAGGACUGUGUAACGGAAGAGGAUGAGCACAGUCUCUGACCCACGGGAGCAGCUGAAUGCAGGGCUGCUGCAGCGAUGGCAAGAACACACGGGAAUGUGUUAGACACCAUGUUGCUGUUGUCACCAGUAUUCUUACCAUUAUUUUUGUUGUUGGAUCUGAGUCGUCUCUGCCUCUCUUAUGGAUGGCACCAAGGGCUCUGUUGCCUACCCAGCUCUGGGUCCUGGGGAAGGAGCUGGCAAGAUGGCGAGCGCCAGGAUCAUAGAACAACCCCUUUGCCCUCCGCAGCUGUGCGCGGGCCAGGGAAUGAGAGGUCUGUAGCCCUGUGGACUAGUCUGGCAGGGGCUCCGGACACAGAAUCCGGAUGCUAUGUGAACACCCCAGCCUGCCUGGGAAAGCUGCCCACCAGCCCGUCCCCCUCUGCCCUUAUAUGGCCUUCCCUUUCUUGGGGAAGAGUUGAACCUUCUCAGGGUUGGAUGUUCUCGUCCCCCUGCAGGACGCCAGGACGCCUGCUGGGGUGGUGAUUCUUUUCUUGUGGGCAUUCCCAUCUGAUCAAUUUUCUGCCCUCUCUGGCUGCUCUGAGCUGAGGGCUGCCCCCUAAGAAUGCAUCACCCAGACCCCCUUGGGCUCUCAAUUCUGGCCGGAUCUGGCCACAGGGAAGCUGCAGCAGGAGAGAGGAGUGUACAGGGCGAGAGGUCAGGCAUCCAUCCCUCUCUCCGUCUGCUCCUUCUUCCACUGUCCUGACAUUGGCUGUGACCAGGACAGCUGUAGCUCCCUGGCUGCUCCUCCUUGGCUCCGGCUCUCAGGCCCCCCAGAGCACCUUCCUUCUCUUCUGCUUGAUCGCUAAGAGGGGUGUGGGCUUCCCGCUGCUCUAGGCCCGGGGGGCUGCCUUGACCUCUCUUGCUGGUUUCCUUGACCUGCCCCCACCUCUGAGCACAGCCCUGCUCCGUGCUGUUGCUGUCGCUGUCACAGGCUGCCUGUCUCCCGCUGACUCCCAUCAGUGUUCCGCGGAGGCUGUCCAGGCUCCUCCAAGAGACCCUGCCCAGCCAGGACCAGGGUGCAGGGCUGCCCCUCUUCUCCUCUCCUGUAACCUGGGUGCCUCCUAAGAGGGCAGGCCAGGGUCCCACAUGGGCACUCGUCCUGGAGGGGUUGGAGCUGCCUGUGGGACUGCAGAGGAAGCCAGGAUUCCAUCACAGAGGGCCUCAGGGGCCGUGGGGGAGGAUUUGGGGUUUUAAGAACAACAAGCUGUGGCAGAUUUUUGGGCUGGGGAUUGCCAUCCUCUGGUUUACAAAUGUAGAGGAUUUAUCUGCUGAGAGGUUCUAGACGGUCUGUGUAGACCCAGGGAAGCUAUCUGGGGUGCUGGGGCAGUAGUUGCCCUGUGACAUUAUGGGGCUCUGCCACCAUUAGAGACAUCUGCCACCUCCACUGUGAAGCCUCAGCUGGUCACCCACGACGGGUUGAAGGCUUCCUUUCUGUGUGUUCACAAAACUUUGUCACAGCAGCUAUCACAGUCGCCCCUCCUCCUGUCCGCAGCGCGCCUCUGCCUCAGCGCCCGCUCACUCCCGGGUCCCAGCACGUGCAGGGCCUGCACACAGAGGGUGCGGUAGGGCUGGCGCUUCGCUGAACUGGUUGGGACUGUCUACCUUCAGUGCAAACGCCUUUGAAGGUGCCUCCUGUUACAACAUGAGUAACUGUUAAGGGACGCCCAGCGUCAGAUCAGCUUGCGCCGCCUUGUCAGGCAAGGAGAGACAGUGGACAUUGGCUGCGUGCUUCCCCACGCCGCCUCGUCCAGUCCACUUGCCAGCCCUGGGAACAGGCAGUCCUGCCCCAUUUCACAGAGGGGAAACGGAGGCUCAGAAGAGUGGUCUAACUUGGAUCAGGUCGCCCAGCUUGUGAGUGACAGAGCCUAGGUGCCAACCAGGUCUCUCUGUCUCCUAAAGCUGUCAGCGGAGCCCAACGCCGCCGGGAGAACUGGACCAGCCUGCUCAGGAAACUGGCCUGGAAAGAAGGAGUCCAUUGUUUACCAGCUUGUUACUGUGGCUCUGGGUGCAUUAUGGAUCCAAGCAGGUGACACGGAGCAUGGAGCCGCAGCCAAGAGAAGGUUUCAGAAAGCGAAGAGACCUGCACAUUAGAGUGCUGUGACUCAGUGGGAAGGCUGUCCGCCUCUUCAGAGCCUUCCUGCCCCUGGAGGACCCGCCGAGUCCCACGCGCCCCUGGAAAGGCUCUUUGUACCGCUGCUGAGGUCUGGGAAAAUAUGCGCCUCCAUACAUACGGCUGGGUAUGGUUUCAUGGAGCUCUGCUUUCUCUUCAACAAUAUGAACACGUGCACUCAUUUGUUUAUUUGCUUAUUUGUUAUAAAAUAAGGACUUGUGAUUUCUGUCAAGACUGUGCUUGGCAAAGGAGCUAGAAGGAACAAUGAAACUGUCUUGGAGGGCAGAGGGCAGAUUUUAAACUCCAUUUUACUUCCCAUCACACAUAGGAGGUACUCAGGAAGUACUUGCAGAGCUGGCCUGGCUUGGCUACUCUCCUUCAUGGAGCUGUGUUAGUCAGCUUUGCCACAAGGCUGGUAUGUGACAAACCGCCCGAUACUGAGCAGCUUACGGUUACCAGUGCUGUUCCUCGCUCAUGGGUUUCAGGCUUGGUGGGUGGCACGGUGCAGGUGCAGGUUGGGGGGCAUUGGCUCAGGUUGGCCUGCUCAGCUGCCUCAUUCCGGGGGCCAGGCUGAAACCUCUGCCUGGUUGCUCUUCUCCCAGUAAACGAGCACGUGAGCAGAAAGAAUGUGAUGAAAGAGAUGCUGCCUUGAGAUCUCAGCCCAGAACUGCCGUCCGUCACUUCUACCACCUUCGUUGGCUCACAAUGAGUCAGUGGUCAAGCCCAUUAUCACUGGGCAGGGAUGUAUAUUUGUUGCCUCUUGUGUGACGCCCUGCAGACUCUAAUGGCAAAGGGUAUAAUGCUCACGCAAGGAGAGCAUGAAGACUGGAGCUUCAGAGAUGGACUUGAUUUCAAAUUUGAGUUAUUCUCUACCUGAUUUGGGACUGGAGAAAUCACUUAACCCUUUAGAAUCUCUGUCUUUCUCAUAUAUCAGGUGCUUACAAUAUGCCUUUCACCGAGCUUAGCAUUUUAUGAAGAUUGCUAUAGGGAGGUAAAGUAGGGGUUCAGCCCCAUUUAAUGAAUGAGGAAACUGAGGCUGAGUAAGGUGACUUGCCCAAAGUCACAUGGCCGCAUCCGGAGUUCCCUGGCAGGUUCUAUCUGCCACCUCUACUUAACUGAAAGAGGGUGUGUGUGCUGUCUGCCACUCUCAGGGAGCUUGUUUCAGGUGAAUUUCUGUCUUUUCUCCCCUUAAAGAGUCCUGGAAACUCUCAGGUCUCUGAACUUUCAUUUUCUGAUGAACUUUACCCCGUGGAUAACCCGCUGAUGUGGCUGGCUACCACCACCCAAGUUUCAAAGUUCAUUGUUGGUAAAGAAAAAAGUCGGGGCUAUUAUUAGCCGCAAUUGGAGGGUGAUCGCACUUCCCAGUCACGAGUCUUCAGGAAGAAGGACACUUGAAUCAAAGCCUGGGUGGUGGUGGUGGGGCAGCGUGUGUGGGCCAGAGGCAGGUUUCGUAAUUGUCAUGCCUGUCGGGCGAGGCUGGGGCCUCUGCUGCCAGAUCGCUUUCCUCUCUGGAGCCAGCUGCUCUGACACCUCUGGGGAAGGACAGCUGGCAGCUUUUUGCUAGAGUUUACUCACAAGGCAUGGAAGAUACUAGUAAGAGCAAAUCUUGGAUCCAACAGAUCUGAUUUGAAUCAAGCCUGUGCCUGAUUGGCUGGGUGGCCUUGCCCCCUGCAGUGCUGUCCCCUGUGCCUGCAGUGCCCCUCCUUCUCUGGGCCACUCUCCACCUGAAUGUCCCCUCAUCCCAGAGGUCUUCCCUGACCCUCUCAAGCCCUGUGCUCCCUUAAUAGCCCGGCCCACCCACGCCCUGCGCCGAGGUUAUCCUGAUGACUCACUUAUUCAGCUCUGCUGCUAGGAGACAUGCUCUGUGAGGGCAGGCCUGACCCCGACAUCCCACUCCCCAGUAUGGGCCUAGGGCACGGGAGGCAUGCUACGAACGUUUAUUUAAUGAAUUCAAUGACAAGUGACUAAAAGCAGGCAAUUGCUUUGCAACCUUUCUGUAGUGGAUUCAAUAUUGUCUAUGCCUUGGAAGCCACUUGGCUCUAAUCCUUGCUACUCAAGGUGUGGUCCUUGGACCUGCAUCCCCUGGGAAUUUCUAUGAAAAGCAGCAUCUGAGGCCCCACCCCAGACCUACUGGAUCAGAAGCUGCGUUUUAACCAGAUCUCAAGCCACCCACGUGCACACCGAAGUUUGAGAAGGAUCACAUCUAGCCGCAGGGUCCUUCCUGGGACCCUCAGAGACUGCCACAGAGUCUGAAGCCGGUUCUCUGAGAAGCAGCAGCCGGGCCAUUUUCAGUGGGCAGCCCCUGAGAAGGACUGCUUGCACAGCACUGCCACGUCGGCGUGGACGGGUGAUGACCUGUUGGCCAAGCAGUCGAUCGCCCGAGUCCUUCUAGUGACCAGCUGCAAGAACAUCUGGAUGCCCCGUGGUCGCCAAGGAGGUUUUCCGUUAACUCUCUGCAGCGGCAGGGGAUGGGCCAGUCCACGGUGUCGAAUCCUCACCCCUGGUCUGUGAGGCAGGUGUUAUAAUCUCCGCUUUACACGGGAGGAGGCCAAGGUCCAGAGAGGGUAAGGCGCUUGCCCACAGCCACACAGUUGGGAAGAGGCCCAGUGGGGAUGUUCCCUUCGUGCAAGGCUGGCUCUUGCAGGGAGGCUGCCCUUCUAAUGCGGACAGUUUACUCACUCCACAUUCCGUCCUAAGACCCUCUUCACACAGGACUAACUGCGGUCUCUGCACCCCGUGAACUGGCCCUUCUCCGUGCUCCUGACCUCAUCUCCUACUGUGUAUGCCCGUGGCUCCCUCUGUUUUAGCCUCUCUGGCCUCUUUCGGACCCUUGAACGCACAAGCUGGUGCCCAGCCCAGGACCUCUGCUCUUCCUUCUGCCUGCGGGAUGUCUCCCCCCAUCUCCCCGUGUUUGCCUUCUCAUCAUUCAAGGCUCACUCAAACAUCCCUUCUUCCGGGGGCCUUUCCCUAAGCACCCGAGGGAAACACGUCCUGCCCUCUCCCCUCUCCACGCCCACAAUAGUCACUCUCAUUCCCAUUAUUUUAUUUUUUUCAUAGCACUCAGUUUAUCCAAAAUUGCCACGGGCGUUUGUUCAGAUGCCCCUCCACUGGCGUGGGAGCUCCUCGAGGGCAGGGUCCUUGUCUGGAUAGCUGCUGUGUCCCCAGCCCAGAACAGUGUCUGACACAUGGCAGGACUUAACGAGACUUGGCGAAGGUAUGAAUGUGGGACGGUGGGAUUGAAAGAAAUGACACAGAGCGCAGAAGCCUGGGCUUUGCCCUCUGGUGGAUGUGGUUUGAGAUUCGAACUCACUUGCAUGACCUCUGGCAAUUCUCACUUAGACCGUGAGCCUCAGUUCCCACACCUGUAAAAUGGGGAUAACGACCCAACUUGUGAGGUGAGGGGGUCACGUAAAACCAAAUGAGAGACAGAGCUGGGCAGAUUCAGAUGCUCAGUACACGUUAGGAAGCCCUCACACCCUCUCUGCCCCUCACAACCUGAGCCCUAACCGCAGCUGAACUGCUCACAGCUCUUCUGAGCGCACCGGCCUCUCCUCACCUCCCCAUCUCUGUUCAGGAGCUGCCUCCGUCUGCACUGCCCUUCCUUCGUCGUUGACUGCCUGCAAAGUACCCACUCAUCCUUCAAGACUCAGUACACUGUCCUGACCCUCCGAUAGCACCCCACCCGAACACCCAGGUAGAGCCCCUGGACACCUGGGGCACGAUUUGAGCCUUGGAUGGGGGGCCUCACCGCCUCUGGCAGGUGAGAAGCUGAGUCCUGACAUAAAUUCACUGGCUCUGUAGUCAUCUCAAUAAAGAAGUGUGUCAGCAUCACCAGGGAGCACCCUUGACUUUGCCUCUGCCCUUGAUCUGGCCCCCGGGGCAGGAAAUGGCGCUUUCUUACCGCAGGCACUGGUGUGGCUCAGCCCAGCAGCAGGAGACAUCUGAUAAGCUUCUGUUUCUUCUUUGAUUGUCUGGGUCUCAAAUGAAAAUGAAAAUGUUAGCAAUGGCAGGCACGACUUUCUGAACUCCUUUCUGCUUUUCUCUGCCUGAGGCAGGUAUAAAAAGGAAAAAGGUGCACAGAGAGGGGUGAGGGAACCCUCUUCCUCCCUCCUGUCUGAAUAUGCAAAAGCCUCAGAUCGGCUGCUGACCUGGGGAAGCCACCCGUUCCUGGACUCAGUGCGUCUGAUUCCUGCCUUUUAGGAGAGGAGGCCUGGGUUCCCUGGGCCAUGGCAGUGUUGAAUUGCCCUGUCCUGUCCACGUCAUCUCUCUGUGGAGUGUGCGUGCGGUGCAGGCCUGCUCCACUCCAGGCUGUGGGCCUCCGAUGCCAGUCGUGGGUAAGUCAGGCUCUGGAGGCGGGAUUUGGAGACCCAUCUCUGGCUGUGGUCUGGUUCGGAACAGACCUGCUCUGCAGUGGCGUGGGCUGGGGCACGUCCUGAAGCGCUGCGUCGACGGUCCAGUCGAGGCUAGCGGAGGGGCAGGGAGUUGGACCUAACAGCUCCCGAAGGCCUGCUCCGGAGCAGACACUUGUUGUCCGUGACCUCCAGUGUUCACACUGCCUGUGUUCUGCUGUGCACUCGACAGAGGAGGGAGCUGAGGCCCAGAGGCGGUAAUUGACCCAGGCUGCCCCCUGGGGAGGCUGCAAGUGCAGAGCCAGGAGCUCUCGAUUAGAUGCUGAGUGCCUUGGUGGAAAGGUGACAGCUCACAUUCCCUGAUGAGUGGCAGGACUGGGAUCCAGACUCCAUCUGCCUCAUUCCCAAACUGUAAGCUGCUUGCUCACCCUACAGCUCCAACACCCUCUUUGUAAGAACUGAGGAGGUAGCUUGCCCGAGGUCACGCAGAGAAUUAGAGGCUGUGCUACACGCGGGGUCUCUCCCUGAGACCACACGGCCUCUCUUUGCUCUCAUCGCCGUGGGAGAGGGCUUCCAGAGAACCACCUCAAGGCCGACUACUGAUCCCGGGAGACCCCGGCUUCCUCUGGAGCCCAGUGAGUCACUGUGGGGAGGAUCCAGGCCCCUCCUUUGAAGCCCUGCUUCUGUGUUUAGCCUGAUCUGCCUCCAGGGGCAAGAGGAUGAAGCGGAGGAUUGCCUCGGGCCACUUCUGUCACUUGCUUGCCAAUCUAUGCUGUUUUCCUUUUGCCAGAGGGUCUUCAUAGCUGGGCCAAAACCCAUGAGAUGGACACUGGAGGAAAAGAGAGAUUACUUACAACUCAAGCUGCAGAAAAGGAGUAGGCAAGGGGAUGGGAUGCCUUCCCCAGAAAGCAAGACUGAAUAGCGCGUACAGUCUCUGGAUCAGAGUCCAAGUCUUGGAAAGAUUCUCAGAGGGCCUCAGUGAUUCCAGCUUCAUAGCUGGAGUCAGGUCAGGGCUCCAAUCUCGCUCAGCCUCUUCCCCCUACGUGACGUUAUACCUGCAGUGUAACAAGGACACUGACUUAGGAUUGUUGUGAUUUUAAAAUGAGACAAUAUGCAUCAUACGCCUGGUCCAGAACAGGCAAGAAAUAAAGAAAGAGCAGGGUGUGUGUGUGUGUGCGUGUAUUUUCCCCCUUAUCUCCUCAUUUUAUAGACAAAGAGACGAGAACCAGAGACCAGCUGUGAUGUCCACAGACACAUGGGAGUCCAUGCUGGAGCCGGGAGGUGGACCCUUGCCCCACCCUCCCAGGCCAGCGUUCUUUAUUUCACAUCACAAUAUUAAGGAUGAAAUUUUUAACCACGUCCCUAAUUUCUAGGCCUUGGAAGCAUAAAAAAGAUGAUUCUCAGCAUAUGGGGAAUACACCAAAAUAAAAUUAUUCUUUGACUAUUCUGGCAUCUAAAAAGCCUUUGAAGCGGCACUCCUUGUGUGGUCAGGAGAGCAGGCAUGUGGCUGGCCUGGAUCCUUUUCACUCAGGGAUGGUUGAACAGUGCCGUCCGGGCGCCCACCCCAGUCCCAAGACCGAAGGAUCUCGGGCAGGUGUGGUCCGAGAAAAAGUCAAGGUCAGGACAUGUGCACAUUGUGUAUGGGUCCCUGGAGCCAGCUAGGCAAACUUUAUCUGUGAGAUAAGGACUGUGAAUGUACCAUGUAAUUUUGUUCUUAUAAUAAAGGAAUAGUCCAGAAAUAACCUUAUCCCUUACGGCAUAAGGCCUUUUCGCUGGUUUCUGAGACCACCUGAGAGAAUGAGCCUUUUACCAACACACUGAUGAUUUAUAUCACAUCACAAUGUAAGGAUGCAAUUUGUUAACCGUAUCCCUAAAUUGAUCAUCUCAGGGAAUUGGUGUUCAUAAUUAAGAGUUGGAGCAGGGCCCCAGAUGCCUCUGGCAUCUUCCAAACCACCAGGGAAAGGCUUAUAUGCAGCUCCUGUUGGCUCACUGACUUUCUGGUCUUUGUUCAAAUGACACCUUCUCAGUGCGGCCUUCCCUGGCCACCCUAACUAACAGGCAGACCCCCCACCAACAUGCUCGAUCCCUAUCCCCUGAUUCAUUGUCCACCUUCACACUCCGCAUCUUGCAAUACACUAUAUAUCUACUUACUUUGUUAUUACCUACGUUCCCUUACUAUUUAUUUAAUGAUACUCAUUUGUAAAUGCUCGACAAAUAUCAGCUCAUUCAGACCUCAUAACAACUUUAAACGGAGGUGGUAUUAUUUGCCCCUCUAUACAGAUGAGGAAACUGAGACACAGAGAGGUUAGGUAAUGUGUUGAAGGUCACACAGCUCACAAGUGGCUGAGUUAAGAUGUGGUCCCAGGAGUCUGGCUCCCAAGUCCUUGCUCACGCCCAUCACACUGUCCCUCUCAUAGGAUGUGAAUUACGCAAGGGCAGGGGUUCGCCUAUUUGGCUGGAAAUACCUGGCACAUCACAGCAUCAAGUAAUUAUUUGUUGAAUGAAUGAAUGAAUGUUUAAAUGGGGCUUAUACCAUUCCAUUGCUUUGAAAGCCCUUCAUUUAUAGAUACUACGCUUAGACAGCCACUCCUUGAAGCAAAUCUGUGGAUUAUAGGAAGGCAGUGGGGCAGGUGGACAGGGCGUGGGGCUCUAGUGUCAGAAAAGAAUGGGGAUCAGAAUCCUAACUCGGUCAGUCACACACAAUAUUUCAUGAGCUACAUGACCUUAACAAGUUCAUCUAACCUCUCUAGCCUUGGUUGCUUCAGCCUUGGAGAAAAUCGUGGGCUCCUUGGAGGGUUAGGCAUUAGAUGAAAGUCCAGUGUAGAUAAAGCACGGGCCCAGAGCAGGUCCUCAGGAAAUGCCAGUUCCCUUCUCAUGGGGAAGGCAGGGAUGAAAGAUACAGGGACUCCAUCUUCCUUUUGCUGAGCAAGCUCUGAUUUUUUCGGAAUGAAUAUAUUAGGGUGAAAGUAUGGGGCUAGCAAAGGGGACCAGGAGAUGGGAAAUGUCACUUUUCCCUUGGACAGCAGUUAAGGCUGGAACAACUCUAGUCAAUUCAGCAAUAUAUUUCUUUUGAUUCUCACCUAACACCAAAUUGAUGCCACUUUUUCUCCUUUGUUUCAUUAAAUUCCGUCGCCUUAACGUGAAACACCGCCUCUUCAGACGUGGUCCCACCGUAGCAGUGAGCAGGCAGGAGUGUCAUCGCCCUCCCGGAAACCAAGCCCGCUUUGGAUUGUAGAGAACAGACCGCACAUCUGACAAGCGAGUUUCCCAAUUCCUCCCGAUUUGUAGACUGAGUUUGUAAAACUCUAAAUAUUUGUCUGACUUUUAAGACUGUUUUCUUCAAGUCUCAGUCGGAGACUCUGCAGGGAAACGCCUAGAGCCCCGGGCUGGCGCUGGGCUGGGAGCUGGUGCCCGGAAGUCGCUCCUGCUUCCUGGGUUUGGUGAGUGCCUCCACAUCAGAUUGCCCUGGAAACCUCCACGAGCCGCCAUCAGACAGAUGGGUCUCCUUCUGCAUGGGGAGGGCUGAGGCCCAGGACCUCCAGCACAUGUCCCAUCCUCUUUGCUGGACCCUUCUGCUGCUUGUGGUAUGACCAUGGCACAGUGGCCACGUGGGAUUAAUUCCAAACCUCUGACCUGGCUUUGCGCAUGCCGUUCCUUCUUCUUAGACUCUCCUUCCCUCACCUCCUCUGAACUCAGGGCUCUCCAACUUCAUCCUCAGGACUCAGUGUGGUUGCUCCUCUGGGACGAGGCUCUAAGGGGGCAGUGGCUGUCGGCUCUGUGCUCGUUUCUAGCAUCAGCCCCUUUCUUGUCAUCUUUACAUGUCCCUGUUUCUCAUCUGGGAACUCCUUCAGAGCAGGGCGUUGUUGUUCAUUUAAAGAUCUUUAGGCCCUGACAUAGGGCCCAGUCUGCAGCUGGUACUCAAGAGGAGUCCUGAAUUUUAAACUUUUUGCUCAAAUGAACAGGGCGCUGGGACCUUCACAGAAAGAGUGUAGGAUGAGGGGGUGCAUGGACUGCUGUUUAGGAGACCCCUCGGGCUGAUCUGGGUCAGCCCCCAUUAUUCUGCAUCUGAGAAAGUGGGAGCUUAGUGACAUCCCAGCUGCAUGUGUUGCUGGCAGAGCCGAGGUCUCCCCACUCUCGGUCCAGUGCCCAAUCUGUGAUCUCAGGAUGUCCCUCGUCCUCAUGAGAAUGAGCUGCAGCAAAGACAUGGCUGGUGGAGUGGAGAAAGGCAUCCAGGGACAAGAUACUGGGAGUGACAAAAGUCCCUGGAGUGUGGCUUGCCAUCUUGGCAGCAGGCUGCCUGGCAGACUGGAGGAUGCCAAUGAGAAGAAAGCCUCGGGAGUGCCAUGGCAGGAGCUCUGGGUUGCAGACUUGGGCUUCUCAGGCCAGACCCGCUGGCCCGAGUCAGCUCAGGAACCAGGGAAAAGUGCCACAGAGCCGUCCCCAAACCAAAGGCUUCAGGCUCCUUGCAGUUGGGCAUCUGGCCAGAUGUUAAGAAAAGGGGACAUUGCAAAGAACUCUAGCAGGAGGAAGUGGUUUGAGUUUCCUGCUUGAAGGAGGAUGCUUCAUUUAAAUAGAAUUCGGUAGAAUUAAGUAGAAGGGGGAAGUCUCUCAAGCCCUCUGCUUGGACUUGGAAGUCUGCUUCUUGCAGAGAAAGAGGAUUGAGAAAUGGCUUCCCAGGGAACCAGAUUUUACCCCAAAUUCUCAAUCGGGGUGGGGAUGGAUAUAACAGAAAACGUUUCCAUCUACUGAGCCCCUGUUCUGUGUUGGGUACUUCUCUCAGUUAGUGCUUCUCCCCAAAUCCUCGUGGAAACUCAGAUUCCCAGAGGGGAAGUGAUUUGCCGCAGAAGACACAGCAAGGCAGGCUGGCACUCGGACCCACCCCUGGCUGACCACCUCGCCACGUCGGCUCCCAAAGCUGGCUGGCCUCCCUGGGCCUGCGGGCCUCAGUCUGAGUGAGCUUCUCUCGUCUGUGAGCUGACAGUCACCAGGCCAGGCCCCUCCCUGCUUUGCAAAGCUCAGUUUUGCACAGCUAACCUCUUCAGUAGACCUCAGGGAGGUUCGACUGUGAAGGCCUGAGGACAGGGUCUGGGGUGCAUCACCUCUGUCUUCCCUGCACUGGCCCAAGGGUCUGGACCCAGUAGACGCACAGAAACAAUGGUCCCCGUGCCAGGAUCUUCUGUGUGGUAGCUCACUUCAUUCCCACACUGAGCCGGGGCCUGGGUUUGUCAUGCCCAUGUCUGAGAUGGGAAAACAGACUCAGGAAGAGAAGUAAUUUUCUCAGGAUAUGUUGCUGGAUUGUCUUUUAAAAAUAAAGGUAUUCCCUGAGUAUGGUAUAAGUAAGAUGUUUUAGGACACUUCUCUGCAAGAAGUAUCAUAUUUACUUGUAUUUCUAAAUCAAAUAAAUUUGGCUUGCCACACCCGCCUGCAUUUGGCAGGAAAUUCCGUCUCAGCGUGUGGGGUGGAGGUCGCCCCGAAUGCGGGAGUUUAUACGGAAUGGUGUUUAGACAAGAGUCUGCCUCUGGCCUUCAGCUCCAAGACGUUCCAAUCACAGGGCGAUGCUAAUCAAGCGACGCUUUGGAGCCACUUCCCAGAGUGGCCUGGGAACGCCCCCGCAGGUCAGGUGCUGUUCGAAGAGUUGGCACGGUGUGAGAUUUUUAACCUCAGUGGGUGACGAUGGCCACCUUCUUCCCCCCUCCCCCCAUCACACAUCCCCUGUUGGGUAAGUUGUAUUGGCCGUGGGCGUUUUAUAUUUGUAAUGUUCUUUUCUUAAAGAAAGCUCCUCAAAAUGCAUAUAUUCACGUCUGACAAAACCUAGAUGUGCUCCUGCCUGCUUCGUUCAUGGUGGCAGUCCCUCCACACGUGCCCUGGGCUGCCUUCCUGGUGGCCCUGGAGCCGUGGCUCUUUCUGUGAAAUUUUCGGCUUUUCCUCUUACCCUUUCAGAGGUUCCACCCUCCUGGAUGGGGGUGCUAUGUGGGAAUGGGAUACUGGUCCCCCAUUUUGGAAACAGCAGCUUCCAUAGUUUAUUUUGCCAUCUUGGAGAAGCCUUGCCAAGGUUAGGCCAUUCCCCAUUUUCAAGCACAGAGGAAAGGGUACAGAGGCCUUUGCACACACAAUGUCACAGUCAAGGUCAGAGCAUCACAGUCAAGGUCACAGGGUCACAGUCAAAGUCAGAGUAUCACUGUCAAGGUCAGAGGAAAGGGUACAGAGGUCUUUGCCCACACAGGGUCACUGUCAAGGUCUGAGUGUCACAGUCAAGGUCACAGGGUCACAGUUAAGGUCACAGUGCCACCGUCAAGGUCACAGGGUCACAGUCAAGGUCAGAGGGAAGGCCAGCAGUGAGACAGCAGCAGGUUGGAUGUGGCUGUCUUCAUUCUCUUAGAUGAAGUUCAAGGCAAAGGUCUCUGACAGUCCUUGGAAGAGAAUGUCCAGCUUGUUUUCCCGCCCAGAGCCUAGUAAACAGGACAACUGGAAUCUGUGGUGGCCUCAGGACACAUGGACUGCAGCCUGGCUGGCCGUGGGAGAGAAGGCAGUGUGGAAAUGGCUGACAUUAGGACCCACCCUGGCCUCUGCACUUGAUCCCCAAGGAAACGCCUCUUCUGGGACAACCUGUCUCAGGGACUUGGAAUCUGUAUCUUGGGUCAGAAAAUAUGCACAGCCUUUGACCCAACGAUUCCACUUCUAGGAACGCAAUAAGAAGGAAUAGUUGCUGAUGUGUGCAAAGAUAUAUGUCCAAGGGUGUUCAACGUAAUGUUGUUUGUAAUAGAGAAAAAGUGGAAGCAACUCAAAUAUCCAGCAAUGGUGGUAUGCCAGGAAACUUGUGUUGCUACAGUACAUCUAUAUGAUGGAAAAAUAUUAGCCAUUAAUAAUCAUGUGGUAAAGGAAUGUGUAUUGAUAUGGAAUUUUCAGAAUAUUUUGCCAAAUGAAAAAAGGCUAUCAAACAGCAUGUACUGCCUGUUCUUACUUAAUUAUAUAAUUACAUACUCCGCUGAGGUUAACUGAACACUUACUGGAUGCCAGGCAUGGCUCUAAGCAUUUAAAAUACAGUCAUACAUUUCAUCGUGCAACGUCUAUGAAGAAGAUAUUUUUAUUAUCUAUAUAUUACACAUAAGGCACCUGAGACACAGAGCGUUUAAGUAAUUCGCCCAAGGUCACACAGUACUAAGUGGCAGAACCUGAAUGUGACUAAGGCAGCUGGGGUCCGGAGCCAUGCCUAAACCACUAAGCUGGCCCUGCUCUCUCUUCCUGUGUGUGUGCAUGUUUGUAUAGUUUUCUCUCUCUUUCUCAGAGGCUUUACACCAAAAUGCUAGCUGUGUCUUCAGUCAUCCCCUCCUCAAACAAGAUACAGCAGAUGUUUCCAUGAUGAGAGGGGAUGCUGCAGCUACUGCGGCACUGGGGAACAUCUGCGCCUCGAGCACAGAGACUACGCCACGUGCCUGUGUGGACUCCACAUGGGCACGUCCCCAAUUCACCGAUUCAGCAAACAGUGACUAGGCACCCAUUCUGUGCAGGCCUUGUUCUAUGUUUUGAGGAUUCAACAGUGAACAGGGAAGGCACACGGGACAAUUCUCCCAUAAAACUGACAUCCCAGUGGGGAGGCAGAGAGGUGACCAGUAAGUAAACAGCCAAGAAAAACACCAGCUGGAGAUCAGUGUUGUUGGGAUCUGCAAUUAGAAGAGUAUGAGAGAGUGGGACCACAGCUACAGGGGUUAAAUGGCCAGGAAAGGGGACUUUUUAGAGGUGGCAUCUCAGCUGAGACUUGAAUGACCAGAAGAAACAAGAUAUUUGUCUAUAUCCGUAAUGUAUCUAUGUCUAUCUCUAUCUACCUAUCUACCUACCUACCUAUCUAUCAUCUAUCUGUCCAUCACCUAUCUAAUCUGAGAGAGAGAGAGAGAUAAAUCAAACCCAGUAAAAUGUUAACAUUUGGGGAAUCUGGGUGAAGGGUACAUUAAAAUAUUUUUGUAUAAUUGUUGUGACAUUUCUGUAAGUCAAAAUUAUUUUAAAAUAAAGAGUUGAAAGUAUAUUAAAAUAAAUAUAUUAAA
ensembl:lncRNA